AUCAACUUUCGAUGGUAGGAUAGAGGCCUACCAUGGUGGUAACGGGUAACGGGGUGUUAGGGCACGACACCGGAGAGGGAGCCUGAGAAACGGCUACCACAUCCAAGGAUGGCAGCAGGCGCGCAAAUUACCCAAUCCCGACACGGGGAGGUAGUGACAAUAAAUAACAAUACGGGGUUCUAUAGGAUCUCGUAAUUGGAAUGAGUACAAUUUAAAUCUCUUAACGAGGAACAAUUGGAGGGCAAGUCUGGUGCCAGCAGCCGCGGUAAUUCCAGCUCCAAUAGCGUAUAUUAAAGUUGUUGCAGUUAAAAAGCUCGUAGUUGAAUUUCGGGGUCAGUAGGUCGGUCGUGCCACUGGUAUGAACUGGUUUUACUGAUUCCUCCCUCUUGAAGAACUGUAAUGCCAUUAAUUUGGUGUUGCAGGGAAUCAGGACUGUUACUUUGAAAAAAUUAGAGUGUUUAAAGCAGGCUUUAGCUUGAAUACAUUAGCAUGGAAUAAUGAAAUAGGACGUUCGAUCCUAUUUUGUUGGUUUCUAGGAUUGACGUAAUGAUUAAUAGGGAUAGUUGGGGGCAUUAGUAUUCAAUUGUCAGAGGUGAAAUUCUUGGAUUUAUUGAAGACUAACUACUGCGAAAGCAUUUGCCAAGGAUGUUUUCAUUAAUCAAGAACGAAAGUUAGGGGAUCGAAGACGAUCAGAUACCGUCGUAGUCUUAACCAUAAACUAUGCCGACUAGGGAUCGGAUGAUGUUAAUUUUUUAAUGACUCAUUCGGCGCCUUACGGGAAACCAAAGUGUUUGGGUUC
rnacentral:rRNA from 1 species